rnacentral:rRNA from 1 species
UACGAAGGGGGCUAGCGUUGCUCGGAAUUACUGGGCGUAAAGCGUGCGCAGGCGGCUUCGCAAGUCAGACGUGAAAUCCCCGGGCUUAACCUGGGAAUGGCGUUUGAAACUACGGAGCUGGAGUAUGGCAGAGGGGGGUGGAAUUCCACGUGUAGCGGUGAAAUGCGUAGAUAUGUGGAGGAACACCGAUGGCGAAGGCAGCCCCCUGGGCCAAUACUGACGCUCAUGCACGAAAGCGUGGGGAGCAAACAGG